GACGAACGCUGGCGGCGUGCUUAACACAUGCAAGUCGAACGGAAAGGCCCUGCUGUGGGGGCGUGCUCGGGUGACGAACGGGUAAGUAACAAGUGAGUUGCCUGCCCUUGACGUUGGGAUAACUUCAGGAAAGUGGGGCACAUACCGGAAAGGAGUUCCUGCUGCAGGGUGGGGGUUGGAAAGGUUCGGCGGUUGGGGAUGGACUCGCGGCUUAUCAGCUUGUUGGGUGGGUAGUGGCUUACCAAGGCUUGGACGGCUGGCCGGCCUGAGCGGGGGACCGGCAAAAUUGGGCCGGGACUACGGCCCGACCCCCUCCGGGAGGCAGCGGUGGGGAAUAUUGCACAAUGGGCGGAGGCCGGAUCCAGCACCGCGGCGUGGGGGAUGAGGGCCUUGGGUUUGUAACCCGCUUCCGCCUGGGACGAAGCGUGAGUGACGGUAAUGGGAGAAGAAGCACCGGCUAACUACGUG
rnacentral:rRNA from 1 species